rnacentral:rRNA from 1 species
CCUACGGGAGGCAGCAGUGGGGGAAUAUUGCACAAUGGGCGCAAGCCUGAUGCAGCCAUGCCGCGUGUAUGAAGAAGGCCUUCGGGUUGUAAAGCACUUUCAGUCAGGAGGAAAGGUUAGUAGUUAAUACCUGCUAGCUGUGACGUUACUGACAGAAGAAGCACCGGCUAACUCCGUGCCAGCAGCCGCGGUAAUACGGAGGGUGCGAGCGUUAAUCGGAAUUACUGGGCGUAAAGCGUACGCAGGCGGUUUGUUAAGCGAGAUGUGAAAGCCCCGGGCUCAACCUGGGAACUGCAUUUCGAACUGGCAAACUAGAGUGUGAUAGAGGGUGGUAGAAUUUCAGGUGUAGCGGUGAAAUGCGUAGAGAUCUGAAGGAAUACCGAUGGCGAAGGCAGCCACCUGGGUCAACACUGACGCUCAUGUACGAAAGCGUGGGGAGCAAACAGGAUUAGAUACCCUGGUAGUCCACGCCGUAAACGAUGUCUACUAGAAGCUCGGAACUUCGGUUCUGUUUUUCAAAGCUAACGCAUUAAGUAGACCGCCUGGGGAGUACGGCCGCAAGGUUAAAACUCAAAUGAAUUGACGGGG